rnacentral:rRNA from 1 species
UACGUAGGGGGCUAGCGUUGCUCGGAAUCACUGGGCGUAAAGGGUGCGUAGGCGGGUCUUUAAGUCAGGGGUGAAAUCCUGGAGCUCAACUCCAGAACUGCCUUUGAUACUGAGGAUCUUGAGUCCGGGAGAGGGAUGUGGAAUUCCAGGUGUAGCGGUGAAAUGCGUAGAUAUCAGGAGGAACACCUGCGGCGAAGGCGGGUUGCUGGGCCGACACUGACGCUGAGGCGCGAAGCCAGGGGAGCGAACGGG